rnacentral:rRNA from 1 species
AAAAGCGGGUGAAAAGCCCGCUCGCCGGAAGACCGAGGGUUCCUGCCCAACGUUAAUCGGGGCAGGGUGAGUCGACCCCUAGGCGAGGCCGAAAGGCGUAGUCGAUGGGAAACAGGUUAAUAUUCCUGUACUUGGUGUUACUGCGAAGGGGGGACGGAGAAGGCUAUGUUGGCCGGGCGACGGUUGUCCCGGUUUAAGCGUGUAGGCUGGUUUUCCAGGCAAAUCCGGAAAAUCAAGGCUGAGGCGUGAUGACGAGGCACUACGGUGCUGAAGCAACAAAUGCCCUGCUUCCAGGAAAAGCCUCUAAGCAUCGGGUAACAUCAAAUCGUACCCCAAACCGACACAGGUGGUCAGGUAGAGAAUACCAAGGCGCUUGAGAGAACUCGGGUGAAGGAACUAGGCAAAAUGGUGCCGUAACUUCGGGAGAAGGCACGCUGAUAUGUAGGUGAAGCGACUUGCUCGUGGAGCUGAAAUCAGUCGAAGAUACCAGCUGGCUGCAACUGUUUAUUAAAAACACAGCACUGUGCAAACACGAAAGUGGACGUAUACGGUGUGACGCCUCCCCGGUGCCGGAAGGUUAAUUGAUGGGGUUAGCGCAAGCGAAGCUCUUGAUCGAAGCCCCGGUAAACGGCGGCCGUAACAAUAACGGUCCUAAGGUAGCGAAAUUCCUUGUCGGGUAAGUUCCGACCUGCACGAAUGGCGUAAUGAUGGCCAGGCUGUCUCCACCCGAGACUCAGUGAAAUUGAACUCGCUGUGAAGAUGCAGUGUACCCGCGGCAAGACGGAAAGACCCCGUGAACCUUUACUAUAGCUUGACACUGAACAUUGAGCCUUGAUGUGUAGGAUAGGUGGGAGGCUUUGAAGUGUGGACGCCAGUCUGCAUGGAGCCGACCUUGAAAUACCACCCUUUAAUGUUUGAUGUUCUAACGUUGACCCGUAAUCCGGGUUGCGGACAGUGUCUGGUGGGUAGUUUGACUGGGGCGGUCUCCUCCUAAAGAGUAACGGAGGAGCACGAAGGUUGGCUAAUCCUGGUCGGACAUCAGGAGGUUAGUGCAAUGGCAUAAGCCAGCUUGACUGCGAGCGUGACGGCGCGAGCAGGUGCGAAAGCAGGUCAUAGUGAUCCGGUGGUUCUGAAUGGAAGGGCCAUCGCUCAACGGAUAAAAGGUACUCCGGGGAUAACAGGCUGAUACCGCCCAAGAGUUCAUAUCGACGGCGGUGUUUGGCACCUCGAUGUCGGCUCAUCACAUCCUGGGGCUGAAGUAGGUCCCAAGGGUAUGGCUGUUCGCCAUUUAAAGUGGUACGCGAGCUGGGUUUAGAACGUCGUGAGACAGUUCGGUCCCUAUCUGCCGUGGGCGCUGGAGAACUGAGGGGGGCUGCUCCUAGUACGAGAGGACCGGAGUGGACGCAUCACUGGUGUUCGGGUUGUCAUGCCAAUGGCACUGCCCGGUAGCUAAAUGCGGAAGAGAUAAGUGCUGAAAGCAUCUAAGCACGAAACUUGCCCCGAGAUGAGUUCUCCCUGACUCCUUGAGAGUCCUGAAGGAACGUUGAAGACGACGACGUUGAUUGGCCGGGUGUGUAA